ACUUUCGCCCUGAAUUAUAGUUAAAGUAUGAGGAACACCAUCCUUAUCUAAAGUGAUGUAGUGAAUCCACCUAUCAUGUGAUUCUCAACAGUACUGGUAAGUAUGUUCUUCAUCAAUAAUCUCGGGUAUAAUCCUGAAUACAUAAGCAUGCAUGAUGU